UCAGGGGCCUCAGUAGCAUCCGCCGCUCCGGGACCCAUGGUUUCAACUGUGUGGGAGCCGGACCGAGUCACACACCAAACUGCAACCAACCGCAACCACAACCGCCGCUAUACGCUGCCUGCUGCGCAGUGCCUGGAAAAGCAGGCCUCGCCCGGGCCCCGUUCUCAUUAGCUAGCUCAAGGUUGAGUAUCUCAGUUAAGCUCCCUCAACUUUCGGAUGAAAUGGUAUCAUCAUGACUUGCAUGUGGACCAGAGUGACAUUUGACGUAUGCGCUUCCUCUCCACAUCUGGCUCAGGUCCAAGGCAGUCCAGCGAUGUGUGAAAGGAUGAAUGGUGACUCUCAUAUUGGCUGACUGCACCAGUCCACUUCCACCCAGUCAUGCUUCUCCCAUCCUUAAACAUCAGUCCAGCUGUUGGUGCAUGUGAGGCUGGCUGUGUGCGUGCGUGCGUCCGUCCGUUCACUGGAUCGUGCUAGCUCCCCUAACCUCGGCAGAUGUACGUGAUUGUAGGCCUACAGUCAUGUUGGCAGUGGUCUCUUCUUUGUCCUGACACUUACAUUGAUUCGCGUGAAAGCAUGCCGUAAUUGUACUCUAAGAAAAUUAGUGCUGUCCUUGUUUUCAGUUGUGCAUUAUAAAACAUUUUGUUAAUAGC